rnacentral:rRNA from 1 species
AACAAACGCUGGCGGCGUGCCUAACACAUGCAAGUCGAACGCGAAAAUCGGCUUCGGCCGAUGAGUAAAGUGGCGCACGGGUGAGUAACGCGUGGAUAAUCUACCCUUCAGUUGGGAAUAACUUAUCGAAAGGUGAGCUAAUACCGAAUAAAACUGCCUGACCACGGUCGGGUAGUCAAAGAUAGCCUCUGCUUGCAAGCUUUCGCUGAAUGAUGAGUCCGCGUACCAUUAGCUAGUUGGUGGGGUAAUGGCCUACCAAGGCGACGAUGGUUAGCUGGUCUGAGAGGAUGAUCAGCCACACUGGAACUGAGACACGGUCCAGACUCCUACGGGAGGCAGCAGUGAGGAAUCUUGCGCAAUGGGGGAAACCCUGACGCAGCAACGCCGCGUGAGUGAGGAAGGUCUUCGGAUCGUAAAGCUCUGUCGGGUGGAAAGAAAUGUAUGGGGUUAAUAGCCUUCAUACUUGACGGUACCACCAAAGGAAGCACCGGCUAACUCCC